rnacentral:rRNA from 1 species
UACGUAGGGGGCAAGCGUUAUCCGGAUUUACUGGGUGUAAAGGGAGCGUAGACGGCAGGGCAAGUCUGGAGUGAAAGCCCGGGGCUCAACCCCGGGACUGCUUUGGAAACUGCCUAGCUAGAGUGCAGGAGAGGUAAGAGGAAUUCCUAGUGUAGCGGUGAAAUGCGUAGAUAUUAGGAGGAACACCAGUGGCGAAGGCGUCUUACUGGACUGUAACUGACGUUGAGGCUCGAAAGCGUGGGGAGCAAACAGGAUUAGAUACC